rnacentral:rRNA from 1 species
UACGUAGGGUGCGAGCGUUGCCCGGAUUUAUUGGGCGUAAAGGGCGCGCAGGCGGCUACGCACGUCCGUUGUGAAAUCGCCCGGCUCAACUGGGCGGGGUCAGCGGAUACGGCGUAGCGUGGAGCAAGCUAGGGGGCAAUGGAAUUCCCGGUGUAGUGGUGGAAUGCGUAGAUAUCGGAAGGAACACCUGUGGCGAAAGCGGCUCACUGGACCAUAACUGACGCUGAGGCGCGAAAGCUAGGGGAGCAAACAGG